GACGAACGCUGGCGGCGUGCUUAACACAUGCAAGUCGAACGGAAAGGCCCUUCUUUUGUUGGGUGCUCGAGUGGCGAACGGGUAAGUAACACGUGAGUAACCUGCCGCUGUCUUUGGGGUAACUUCAACAAACUGUAGCUCCUACCAGGACGUUUCUCCUGCUGCGUGUUGGGGGUUGGAAUGUUUGGGUGGUUGGGGAUGGACUGGCGGCUUAUCAGCUUGUUGGUGGGGUAGUGGCCUACCAAGGCACUGACGGGUAGCCGGCCUGAGCGGGUGACCGGCCACACUGGGAGUGAGAGACGGCCGAGACUGAUACGGGAGGGAGGAGGGGGGAAGAUAGCACAAGGGGCGGGAGGCUGACGCAGGAAGGCCGGGUGCGGGAUGAAGGCCGGCCGGUGGGAAACCGCUUUCGCCUGUCACGAAGGGAGUGGGACGGUAAUGGGUAAAGAAGCACCGGCUAACUACGUG
rnacentral:rRNA from 1 species